UAGGGGGUUUAACGGAAGUGGAGUAAUGAGGUGUAGAGUACCUGUCAUGUUUUCUGACAGAGGAGGCAUGAUGUUGGGAAGAAAUGCAAGAUAAGUAGGAAACCAUGCCAUGGCUCAUAACCUGGCAAGUUCAGCAGUUACCUACAGAACUACUGACACACCAGUAGGCAUACUGAAUUGUUUUAGUACAGCCUAGGCAGUUUUAUUAAUACAUAAGUAAUGUGUUCUGUGUUGUAAGGGCAUCAUUCUACCAAGGAGUCUAGACCUUUAUAAUAGUCUGCUUGCCUUGCUACCAGGGUUGUGGUUCAACGCCUCCAGCUCUCCCUUCCUACUACAUUGGUAAAAUGUAGGGCGGUGGGCCUUGCUGGAGAACAUGGAGGGCCUGUUCCUGGCAGUGGGUGAGAUUGUGGAUGGGUGUAUGCAGAGAACUCUCCUCACCCCAAAGCAGGGGUCUCUGUAUUCUCAUCACAACAGUGCCCUCUGACUCUGGCCAAAUCAACUUUUCCAUCUAGAAUAUAGGACAAUGGUAGAAGACAUGGCUGGACACUCAUACCUGGAUACUGUCCACGGCUACCCCAUCACACCAUGGGGUAGCCAAGAUAUAGGAAGACCGGAAACAAUUUGUUGGCUACCUACCACAGAGUUUACCAGUUAAAUACUCUGUUACAUAAGUUUAGGUUUCUGUGACUGGAUUGGUUCUCAGGCCAAUAUAAAUCAACCGUCCUACUAGUCUCCACCCCUAGACAAUACAAUAGCUCCUCAAUGUAAGGUUGUUUAGGGUAAGGGAGGAAGCCCAUUUUCUAAGCAUUUAGAUGUCAGUCAUUGAGAGUGAUAUGUCUUCCAUAGUCAUCCUCAGUGUAAGGCACCUGAUGCUCUUCCUCCUCAGUCAAACACCAUGGUUCUGUUUUCACUGAGUACUGUGCAUCCCGGAUGUCGACAACAUUAAAAUCAUCUGCACUGUUUCCCUCCCCCUUUUAUUUUCACGUUUACAGGGGAGAUGAUGUUCCUCUAACAAAACACACUGUGUCUCAGGUAAUUGCACUUAUUUACGACAAUCUAAUAUUUACUCAAACUUAUUAAAAUUGUAUUACAUUUCUUAUACUUCUGUAAUACUGGUAUUUAAACAUGUGUAUUUGAUAGUAAUGCGAUUUGGAUAUUAGCGAAC
ensembl:lncRNA